rnacentral:rRNA from 1 species
GACGAACGCUGGCGGCAUGCCUAAUACAUGCAAGUCGAGCGAACAGAUGAAGUGCUUGCACUUCUGACGUUAGCGGCGAACGGGUGAGUAACACGUAAGGAAUCUACCUAUAAGCGGGGGAUAACAUUCGGAAACGGGUGCUAAUACCGCAUAAUAUCUUCUUCCGCAUGGAAGAAGAUUGAAAGACGGCUCUGCUGUCACUUAUAGAUGACCUUGCGGUGCAUUAGUUAGUUGGUGGGGUAACGGCCUACCAAGACGAUGAUGCAUAGCCGCACUGAGAGGGUGAUCGGCCACAUUGGGACUGAGACACGGCCCAAACUCCUACGGGAGGCAGCAGUAGGGAAUCUUCCGCAAUGGGCGAAAGCCUGACGGAGCAAUGCCGCGUGAGUGAAGAAGGCCUUCGGGUCGUAAAACUCCGUUAUAAGAGAAGAACAAAUUGUAGAGUAACUGCUACAGUCUUGACGGUAUCUUAUCAGAAAGCCACGGCUAACUACGUGCCAGCAGCCGCGGUAA